rnacentral:lncRNA from 1 species
CCUCCUCGACGUCAUCAUGGCCUCUUAAAGAGGCUCUCCUCAUGUUACUUUCAGGCAAAUGAUCCCCAAGAUGGAUCCAACUCUUGCCCCAGCCCCUCAUCUUGCUUGAUUCUUGCCCCCUGGGCCUUCAUACCCCACAUACCAUUUAACCUGCAGAGCUUGGCUGCUCCAUGCUAAGUCCUGGACCCCAUCCCCAGCUUUCUCCGCCAUGUGCCCGCGGGAGGCGCGAGCCUCUUUCUGUGCUCCUAAGGAAGCUCUCUGGCUUUCACACCGAGCUUUUGAUCACCUACAAAUCACUCUGAGUUUUUUCUUUCUUCGAAGACUUAGUCGUGCUUAGCAACAGCCAAGCAAUUUCACUGUCCUUACAGUUUCUCCCUCCCUCCAUAUUUCUCAAACUCCUGGUAUAUGGAACCCACAAGUGAAUUCUUUUCCACCAGAACACCAACCAAGUCCAUCAGUGGUGGAGGUUUUAACAAUUUCAUUGUUACCUUGUGCUCCCCCUACCAGCGGUGAAGGGUCCUCCUUGCCAGCCAGGAGUCAGUGGGCCAGCACCGGAAUCCCAUCCUAGCAUCUGCUUUUAAGGUCCCACUCUUUUUUUUUUUUUUUUUGAGGAAGAUUAGCCCUGAGCUAACAUCUGCCAAUCCUCCUCUUUUUGCUGUGGAAGGCUGGCCCUGAGCUAACGUCCGUGCCCAUCUUCCUCUACUUCAUACGUGGGAUGCCUACCACAGCACAGCUUGCUGGGCGGUGCCGUGUCCGCACCCGGGAUCUGAACUGGUGAACCCCCCACCGCCGAAGCAGAACGUGCACACUUAACCGCUGCGCUACCAGGCAGGCCCCACUCUUGAUCCCAAUGGUCAUGGUGCGAGCUCCCUAGGGGGCAGACUUUGCGAUGCAGAUUAGCAUGCAGGAUGCUUAUCAGGGAGUACUCCCGGGAUCGACAUGCUGGAAGGGAAGGAAUGGACAUAGGGUCGAACAGAGAGAGAAACUGGACUUCAACACUGUCCCAAGUCUAGGCGAAGAAACUGGGCCUUUAAACACCCCACUGACCAACCAGGGAUGUGGGCCGCCCAGAAAGGAGGCAUGACCAUGAUCAAGAUGAUUCUCUUCAGCUGAGGAAAUUCCCAGAGAGGACUGACAGCUGAGGGCUGUCUGCUGGCAACACUCCCAGCAGCUGGGGUGUAAGUCUAUCCUGGAGGGACUAAUCACAACUCGUCACGGCAUCGACUGGACUGUGCGCACAGGUGCUGGCUGACCAUCGACCAGGGAAUGGUGAACAUUCUCUUCAGAUCAAUUCAGAUGUUUCAGUUAAGCAGGAAGCAAGUUCAUCUGUGGACGGAGAGAUGAGGAGCAUGCGCUGUGCCAGACACGGUCUAACUCAGACCCGGAAUGUGGGGCAGCCUCAGCAGGGCCUAGGAAGCAGACCCUGCUCUAGGGUGGGUCUGUUUGCAAACUGGGACGCACUCCCAAUUAGUCUUGAAACUUUGUGCUUGACUAUACUUUUCGGUACAACACCUAGCUGGAAAAAAGUAUAUCUGGAACAACUGGGGCAUGUAAAUCGACUUUUUCAACUGUAAUUUUUAUGAAGUUUAAACACAGAUCAAGUAUUCCUGAUAAAAAUGUCGCAUCCUGAUUGAGAUGUGCUGUAAGUGCAAAUUGCUAGAUUUCAAUGACUUAGUACGAGAAAAAGAAUGUAAAAUAUACCCUGAAGAAUUUUAAAACAUUGAUUACAUGUUGAAAUGAUAGUAUUUGGAUGUAUUGGG